GACCCCUUUCCUACUAGGUUUGAACUUGGCCAUGUGGCUUACUUUGACCCAUGAAAGGAAAGAGAAUGAAAAAGAAGAGAACUCAAAACAAGAAAAGUCUCCUGGAAAGAAAUGAGAAACUCUCCUGCUCCCUCUGCAUUCACUUUCUGAGGAUGUGGACGGAUAGGCUGUGACCAGUGUUCACCCAACGAUUGGGAAAGCUUGUUGGGUCAUUUCCCCUGAGUGGUCAUGAGACAGUGCCCAACCCAGCAGGUGUGUCCCUGAAGUGCAUCUGUCAUCAGAAAGGGAAUUCCUUCUCAUUGCAAAUGAAAUGUGAUUGCUUGUCAGGGCCCUCCAUUAACCCAUACACC